AUUGAACGCUGGCGGCAGGCCUAACACAUGCAAGUCGAGCGGAUGAAGGGAGCUUGCUCCUGGAUUCAGCGGCGGACGGGUGAGUAAUGCCUAGGAAUCUGCCUGGUAGUGGGGGAUAACGUCCGGAAACGGGCGCUAAUACCGCAUACGUCCUGAGGGAGAAAGAGGGGGAUCUUCGGACCUCACGCUAUCAGAUGAGCCUAGGUCGGAUUAGCUAGUUGGUGGGGUAAAGGCCUACCAAGGCGACGAUCCGUAACUGGUCUGAGAAGAUGAUCAGUCACACUGGAACUGAGACACGGUCCAGACUCCUACGGGAGGCAGCAGUGGGGAAUAUUGGACAAUGGGCGAAAGCCUGAUCCAGCCAUGCCGCGUGUGUGAAGAAGGUCUUCGGAUUGUAAAGCACUUUAAGUUGGGAGGAAGGGCAGUAAGUUAAUACCUUGCUGUUUUGACGUUACCAACAGAAUAAGCACCGGCUAACUUCGUG
rnacentral:rRNA from 1 species